rnacentral:lncRNA from 1 species
GGUUCCUCUUGUUUCCCCCACUAACUCUUCAGCCUCUCGUCUGCUGCUUCGGGCUGAGGGACUAGAGGACAUCUCAGUCGUUUGAGCGGCAUGGCCAGUCGUGGCAGGCCAGGCUUCAGCAUCCGGUCAGGGCAGCGUGCAGACUGAAUAGGCCCUUGUGUGGGAGCAUCCCUGGGGAUUGUUGGAACCGUGCUGUCCCCACCCCUGCUUUCAUCGGGGCUCUAAGUUCUGGAAGGUGCUUGCACAGAGGGUGCUCAUGGGACCUGCAUGCAGCUCUCAGCACUGGGCGGGUGGGCGUUGGCUUGUCCAGAAUGGGGACGUGGGGCAGCCACUGCCACCCAGCGAGAGUGCAGACACCGUGUGAGGGAACAGCAGCCCUUGGUGCAAAGCCAGAGACUGAUCCUGGCUCUGACGGCUGAGGAGGGAGGACCCGAGGCUGGGUGGCGUGGCUCGUGAAUCCACUUAGAAUUCUUGGCUUGUGUCGCACACUGGGUGUCACGGCACACAUUUACUCUGCAUUGUCCCUGUCUUUCCUGUCGCCUAGCAUUUGGAGAGGAAGAGGGAGAGAGCUUCAGGGUGUCUGUGUCCUUGCUCUCCUGCCUCUACCGCCUUGGUUUUGCUUCCUGCUGGAGGCGCGGCACCUGCUGCGACCCAGAUUCUUCUGCAGGAUAUGUCUGUCUUUGUCACGGUGGACAGAGGGUGACAUCAUAGGAGCAGCUCGCUGGCCAGAAGGGGAUGGGGCAUCCCUGUGCCUCAGUCAGCUUCUGCUGCUCUUAGGGAAGGGAGGCCUGGGUCAAGCCAGCUGCAGCGUCUUGUCAUCAAGAGUCACCUCAGCUGCGCUCCCCUCCCGUCCUUUCCUAUGAGAAGCCACUGCUUUGGGGGCGCCAGCUAGAAAAAUUAGGGUGAGGUGGCCAGGAGGGCCCCUGCCGCGCGGGGGCCUGGGUCCUGUUGAGGCGCUCAUUUCCCGAAGGCAGCGCAGGGAUCCAGGGAAGCUGCGGCAGGGAGUGGCCCCGGCUCCGUGGCUCUGAGGUGUAACGGGAGUGGGCUCCCUCCCUCGGAGCACGUGGUCUUGUGUCCAGGUCAGAGAGUGGCCCAGGAAGCGGGCAGUUUCUGUCGCUGGUCCGGUGGGGGGCGGCCGCUGCGCGGUCGGUGCAGCGUGGCCAAUGCACGCGAGCGGGGGGCAGAGCAGGAGGCGAUCGGUGACCUCGGGCACUGCUGGCCUGGGCUGGCCUCCUCCAGCCCUCCCGUGGCGGAGCCGGCAGUGAUGCUACACUUCACUGUAGUCACGACAGGGCCUAAGUUAUUGUUUGCAUAAAAAGAAUCAUGUUCCCUGUGUACAUUUAAGAAAAAAAAAAAAAAAAA